rnacentral:rRNA from 1 species
CCUACGGGGCGCAGCAGUGAGGAAUAUUGGUCAAUGGACGAGAGUCUGAACCAGCCAAGUCGCGUGAAGGAUGACUGCCCUAUGGGUUGUAAACUUCUUUUAUAAAGGAAUAAAACGAGGCACGUGUGCCUUUUUGCAUGUCCUUUAUGAAUAAGAAUCGGCUAACUCCGUGCCAGCGGCCGCGGUAAUACGGAGGAUCCGAGCGUUAUCCGGAUUUAUUGGGUUUAAAGGUACGGUAGAGGGGUUGUUAAGUCCGUUGUGAAAGUUUGCGGCUCAACCGUAAAAUUGCAAUUGAUACUGGCAGUCUUGAGUACAGUAGAGGUAGGCGGAAUUCGUGGUGUAGCGGUGAAAUGCUUAGAUAUCACGAAGAACCCCGAUUGCGAAGGCAGCUUACUAAACUGUGACUGACAUUGAUGCUCGAAAGUGUGGGUAUCAAACAGGAUUAGAUACCCCAGUAGUC